CGAUUCUCCCAUCCACUGGCAAGUCACGACAACGGACGCCGCUCCACUCCCCACGGCAGACUCCACGUGGCACGCCCCGGUGAUAGCCAUGGGUCCACUCCACUACUAUGCGCAACAAAUUCCGCCUGACCCUGGGCAGCCAUCUGCCAGACGGUUACAGGCGUCGCUAUCAAUCUGCUGCCCCCUCCGUCUAUAAAAGGGGGACCCAGAUACGUUAUUCUAUAAGCUCUAGUUUUUACCUAAAACUCUGCUAAAUUCUCUGUUCGAGCACUCCAUUCUUGUUGAGGCAGAGAACUGACUUGAGCAUCGGAGGGUCUUGCCGGAGCAACCCCACCUCCGGUUUAGACUUCCUUUGCAGGUCCCGACGGCGACCGCGACUUCCCCGACUCCAGCUUCUCCGGCG
rnacentral:lncRNA from 1 species